UUUCCCCACAUUUCAACACAUGUUCGGGGCAAUUUACAGUUAUCAUCUCGUAUAUUUAUGCAAUGUGGGAGGAAACCCACGUGGCGACGGAAAACUUGGAGGUGAGAAUCGAUUCGUGUUGUGAGAGAGUGGCGUUAUAAGCCGCAUUCCUAUGCCGUCGAAAUGACCAAAGAAGGUAGAAUUGAAGAUUAAUGCCUGGAUUUGACGUUCAAAUCAGGACGAAUAGCUAUGAACACCAACCCGGGUUCAAUUCCCGUAUUGAACCACGGGUUGUCUCAAGACGGGAAUGGGGAGCCGAUGUCAGAUUACAGUCCCCCCAAACAGCAACCGCCCCAGGUAUUAGGUUGGACCGAUUCAGAAGCAGAUUUGGAGCCGCUCCCAGUAGGCUGGAUUUGAAGGCGUUUCCCGUGGUUGUAGUUUGAGAGCGGGGCGGAAACGGUUUGAAAUUGCCUCUUGUGUCCGCAGUAAUGUAGUUCGGUUCGAGUCCCGGUUGUUCAAGUUGUCGUUUACCACCCCACGCGGGGGGACAAUUGGAAUUGCAUGCAGCCCUCAUCUGAAUCAAAUACUUUUCUUUCUCUAUGCUGGACAUGAUCAUUCGGCUGAGCAGAUUAACUCCUAGUUACUUCCGACUAUUACAGAUGCAGCUUGCGGGUGAAGCUGUGAUUCACAGUACCGACGGAGUCAUCAACCUUUCUGCACUGCUGCUUGCUGUACUGGGCAUUGGCGUGUCCUCCUAUAGUGUCAGGAGAAUGACUGAGAAAGGGGAAACCCCGUCAAGCUGCUGAAACCAGGGCCAACUAAAAGGCAGGGAUAUCAGAGAACAGGCAGCCACAAAAUGGACAGGAAUCAAUGUAACAUGGCCCCCUCGUGGCAUUCCGUUCAAGCUGGAAGAACCUAAAAGCUGAGAAAAUGAAUGAUGUUGGAGUGGCUAAUUCAAACCCUUCCUGAAUGCAAUCAGUGAGAAUCUUUUAUGUGGACUUAAAAUGUAACUGCAACUAAAUAACUUAAAGUUAUUGCAUUAACAGCAAGGUACAUACUCAAGGAGAGUUUAGCGUCAGUUGUAUCAAGGCUUUUCUGACCUGUGUGUCCUAACAAUUGUAAUUUGAAGGCAUAUCAAAGUUCAAAGUAAAUUCAUUGUCAAAAUACAUAUAUGUCACCACAUACAACCCUGAGAUUUAUUUUCUUGCUGGCAUACUCAAUAAAUCUAUAAUAGAAUAAUAAUCAUAAUAAAAUCAAUGAAAGGCUGCACCAAAUUGAGCAUUCAGCCAGUGUGGAAAAGACAAAAGUCUGCAAGUUCAAAAGGAAAGAAAUAAUAAUAAUAAUAAUAAUUAAUAAAUAAGCAAUAAAUAGUAAGAACAUGAGGCGAAGAGUCCUUGAAAGUGAGUCCAUAGGUUGUGGGAACAUUUCAAUGGUGGAGCAAGUGAAGUUAACCCCUUUGGUUCAAGAGCCUGAUAGUUGGGGGUAAUAACUGAUCUGGAACCUGGUGGUUUGAAUCCUGAGGCCCCUGUACCACCUUCCUUUUUGCAAAAGCAAGAAGAGACCCUGUCCCGGGUGGUGGAGGUCCCUGAUGAUGGGUGCUGCUCUCCUGCAGUAGUGUUUCAUUCAGGCAUUCUCAAUGAUGGGAAAAGCUUUACCCGUGAUGGACUGGCUGUAUGCACUACUGUUUGUAGGGUUUUCCAUUCAAGGCCGUUGGUGUUCCCAUACCAGGCUGUGAUGCAGCCAGUCAAUAUACUCUCCACCACACGUCUAUAGAAGUUUGUCAAAGUAUUAGAUGUCAUGCUGAAUUUUUGCAAACACAGUAGAGGUGCUGCCGUGCUUUCUUAUCAGUGGUGUACCUCACCAGGUUGUUGGGUUCAGAGCUUAGUUAGUGGACCUGAGCACUUAACAAAGACUCUCCUCUGCACACUGUAUCCUGGAUAUGUAUAUUUGUAAUACAGUGUUUGGAAAUCGUUCUGAACUUAGACAAGGACAUGGAGAAUGGAUCUAGUAUUUGGUAAUGUAUAAUUAGAGUGUUUUUCCUAUCACUGGUUUGUCAUACUAGGGGACUGGUGGUCACAGGCAGUGAAGAAAUUAAUAUUAGCCCAUUUCUCUGGGUUAAUCUCAGUUGAAAAGCAGCUCUGAGCUGUGAGACAAAGACUGCACUCUACCAGCAGACUCAAACGUGGUCUUCCUUGCGCCCUCACAGCAGAAUAAAAGUGGCAUCAUUGUAGAAUUGAAUUUGGGUCAAUGAUUUGAACAACAGUGUAAAGUGAAGCUAAUUUAGUCACUUUGCUCUCACUUGCUUUGACUCUCAACACCAAAAGCAUCCAAGCUUGAAAUAUAAAAAUGAACAAAAUAAAAAAAUCAG